ACGAGAGAACGAAUGUCUGAUUCGCCCCAUUCCGCUCUCGAAUCAGACAUUCGUUCUCUCGCU
rnacentral:pre_miRNA from 1 species